UCCCUGGUGGUCUAAUGGUUAGGACUUGGCGCUUUCACCACUGUGGCCCAGGUUCAGUCCCUGGUCUGGGAA
rnacentral:tRNA from 1 species